CCCCCUCCUGGCUCCCACGCGCCCGGCCCAACCCUGGCCGGGUCUCCGCCCGCGCGCCUGCACCUCACAACCCCAGGCAGCUGCGGCUGCGAGCGUGGCCGUGGGGUCCCGCGCAGACCCCUUCGCUAGUAAGAUGCCCCUCGAGUCGCCUUUCGGCCGUGGAGAGGGCCGGAGGGCGGGCUGCCCUCCCCGGUCGCUGACAAAGGGAGGCAGUGACCCCUAGCGGCCGGCAAUGGGGAGACGCUGCUCGGUAGGGGUGGAGUUAAGCUGGGGAGGGGGCGGCCGUGGGGAGCCGUGUGAACGCUGGAUCUGGCAUUGUCCGAGCUCCGAGGGCUUUUUUAGCCCUUUCCUCCAACCCUGAGCCCAUUUCACAGAUGAGGAAACAAAGGCUCAGAGGAGGGCGUAGAGCGUGGUCCCGGGUAGAAAGAAGCAGAGAACAGUCUAGAACUCAGCUGUCAAAGCAUCUGCACCCCGAGAUGUGGACGUAGGACAGAAGCUGCUUAACGGAGGAGGAUCAACCGCGAAAGCUGUCGAGAAGCGGAGGGAAAGCAUUAGUGGAUGAGCUCAGGGCACUCAGGUUUCUAGUGGGACGUCCUUUAUAAUCCUCAUUGCCUUCAGAGGGUCCUUGUCCCGAAAUGGAAGCAUUCUGCUUUCCCUCAAAGAACAAGAAACCAAGUCGGCUACCAUUGCUCGCACCUCGUUUCUGAGCAGUUUGCGGGAUUCCCGCGAAAGUGGUCCAUCCAGUCGGUGUCCCAGAACGGCCUGGACUCUCCGCCCCAUCCUGUUCGCCACCCACCACAUCCGGGUGGCUUCUUGCCAAGGAUCUAAAUCAGGACACCACCUGGCAUUUAACGCAAGUGAUCUUCUAAUGCAAGCGAUCAGCUCCAAGCAUGAGGCCCCUUCCCUGGCCUGCCAAAUUCAGGCCAUUAUCAUGGCCUCAGCAAUGUCUCCUGGAUCCUUCCUGCUUUAGAAGCCUCACAUUUCUCUGUUCUAGGGCUUUGCAUAGGGGAGACUUCACUUUAAUGGGGGUCAUCAAAUUUAUUUCUUCUGUAAACCUCACCCCCUUUUUUGGUCAGCUUCCUUUUCUUUUGGCCUUGGUUCACUUGUGCCACGUCCUCGUGGUAGGUAGACCAGACUUGUCCCCUGUCUUCCUACAGCUCUUUUCUGUAUUCCUGCAGUCUCAUUGGUGAUUGAUUAUUUGCAAUGUUUGAUCCACUCUAGGCCAGGGACAAUAUCUCUUUGUAUCCUUAGGACCUAGGAACACAGCGCACACCCACUAAGCACCUGAUGGGAAAGCUUUUGUCUUCUCCCUUGCAUCCUGUGUCCCCUCCUGCUGAUCACAUGCUCUCCCGGGGCCUCGUUUUUCUCAUCUGCAGACUGAGGAGGCCUAUGUCCCCACUGGAUUUCAAGGGCCCCAGCUCCCUGCUUCAAUAGAGCCAUGUUUAAAGAACAUGUUGUUUUCACACACUGUAAACAUUGGCCUUCUGAUAAGUAUUUCUCUUAAUGGGAUUUGAGGAUUUGGCUGUUCAAAAAGUUUGAGACUCCUGACUGAUUACUGUACUAUAAGUUAUGAUUGCAUAAAUGUUCAUGAUUUCACAAUUUCAUGAUGGUUGGUUUAAAUAAAUAUUUUUUCCUUUUUUUCUUUCUUCUUCUUCUUUUUAAAGGCAAUAGUGAGCCAUUGAAGAUUUUUGAACAGAGAAGUGCUUAUUGGGAACUGCUGGAGCUGGGCUUUCAGGAGAUGAAUCUGGCAACGAUGUGAACAGGACAGACAGAUGAUGAUUGAGAGAUCACCGCAGAGCUUCCUCAUUGCCAUGGCUGCCAUUGCUCUUGGGACGACCAGCUGAAUACAGCUGCACCUCACCCCCAGGUCCAGUGAUUUA